rnacentral:lncRNA from 1 species
GGUGAGGGCAGUGACAGAGUUUGCCCAAGAUUCCCUGCACAUGGAGAGGCCUGUGUUCAACGAGGACGGGACUCCUCAGUUGGACGAGGAGGGGGGACAGGUGACGGAGUGGGUUCUCCGGUUUCCAUUAUCGUGGUCGUCGGAGCAUUUUGAUUUGCGGACCGACGAGUAUCUAACUGCUGCCGAGGAUCUUACCCCGGCCGAANNN